CUCACAUGCAUAUUUUCGUUGCACAGAAGCCGUGAGCGAUCGAGACGAAUCAUCUCUCCCAUAGCAACAGGUUCUACACCCAUAUCCUAGGCCACGUGUAUAGGGAAGGACCAGCAAGAUGAAAAACUAUCUUUCUCGACAUCCGCGUGUUCCACUCCGAAUGCGGUCGCUUUUGGUGAGAUGCGUGGAAGCAACUUUACGGAUAUCCCGGGACAUAUCUCGGUGACAUUUUCUGAUUUGUAAGGCAUCUGAGAUGUGUGCAGCCGCUUCCGGGAUGUCAAAAGGUUCUCUUCUUAACGACAGUAUACACUUUUUCGUGUAAGUGCAUACACCACAUUCCUAUUCCUUGUUUUCUGGGACUACCAUCGUAUAGGUAGU